UUUCUACUCCCUCUGUCCGAAAAUACUUGUCAUCAAAAUAGAUAAAAAUAGAUGUAUCUAAAACUAAAAUAUGUCUAGAUACAUUUCCUUUUAUCCAUUUUGAUGACAAGUAUUUCUGGACGGAGGGAGUAUUUG
rnacentral:pre_miRNA from 1 species